rnacentral:rRNA from 1 species
GGACCCGCACAAGCGGUGGAGUAUGUGGCUUAAUUCGAUGCAACGCGAAGAACCUUACCUAGGCUUGACAUGUAUUGCUAAGCACGUGAAAGCGUGUGACUCUUCGGAGACCUUACACAGGUGCUGCAUGGCCGUCGUCAGCUCGUGUCGUGAGAUGUUUGGUUAAGUCCAGCAACGAGCGCAACCCCUGUGGAUAGUUGCCAGCACGUAAUGGUGGGGACUCUAUCCAGACUGCCCAGGUCAACUGGGAGGAAGGUGGGGAUGACGUCAGGUCAGUAUGGCCCUUACGCCUAGGGCUGCACACGUACUACAAUGCCCAGUACAAUGAGAACCGAGACCGCGAGGUGGAGGAAAUCUGCAAAACUGGGCCCAGUUCGGAUUGGAGGCUGCAACUCGCCUCCAUG